rnacentral:rRNA from 1 species
UACGAAGGGGGCUAGCGUUGCUCGGAAUCACUGGGCGUAAAGGGCGCGUAGGUGGUGGCUUAAGCGUGCGGUGAAAGCUCGGAGCUCGACUCCGAGUCGGCCGUGCGAACUGGGCUCACUGGAGCAUAGUAGAGGCAGGUGGAAUUCCGGGUGUAGCGGUGGAAUGCGUAGAGAUCCGGAAGAACACCGGUGGCGAAGGCGGCCUGCUGGGCUAUGGCUGACACUGAGGCGCGACAGCGUGGGGAGCAAACAGG